AUCCGAUGCUAUCAACCGGCUCUUUUAAAUUGAAUCAGAAUUCCUGCAGCCCAGAUCAUAGUCAGUUUGCAGCAUCAUGACACCAGAAAAACUAGAUUAUUAUGGUUUGGGCAUAGUUGAUAGACAUGAAGGUAAAAGGUAGGCAGGAUAACGGUACUAGUUGAUCCAAGGAAUAUAACUAUAUGCAAGUUGGAGAAGGAGGAAGAGUAAAUUUAUUAUAUAUAAGGAGAAAAAAAUCAUUUUAUUUAUUAUCAUUAUUUUUUUUCUUUUUUUCUUUUUUGUGUGUGCUGUUGUUUGGGGGGGUGGGAGGAGAGUAUUGAACCAAAAACAUUCAGCAAUUGAUUACAAGCCCUGUGAAUCACUGAUCCACUUGUGAAACACUAAACAUGACUAACCACAAAUUGUACGAAGUACUCCGGAAUCUCAAACUUAUUCUGCCAUAGGCAACUAUAAGUUCUGGAAAAAAGCAGAUUUCAAAACGAAAAGUUUAUGAGUAUGCCAACUGUAAAACAAAUCGUAGUCUGCCCGUCCAAACUUUAAUAUAUCCCCAUAAUUUUCCAGUCCACCUAAUUAACAUGGGCAAAAGAUCCGAACUUUUUUUGAAUCUGUAAU
rnacentral:misc_RNA from 1 species